AUAACAUUCAUUUGAUGAUAAUGGCCAGUAUGGUGAUAGUUUUGAUGAAGGUUGUGAAAAGAAUGACGAUGGUGUUUAUGAUGACGAUUAUCACUGUGCUGCUGGUGUCUGUGAUGAUAAUCAGGAUAUUCGUUAUGGUGAUAAUAAUGGUAAUUGUUAUUAUGGCAAUGGUGUUGCUGAUGGUGCGAAAGAGCGAUGAUGAUAAGUAAGUAAUCAAGUAACUAACGACUUUAUUUUGUGUUGAUGAUUCACUACCAACAUACGCACAUACAUAUAUAUACUCAUACUAUCGUACAUAUAAUGAAAACAAUCAUAUUUACAAAACACAUAGGAAAACAUAUCAACGCUUAUACAAUGGAAUGGAUAAAAUGACAUGAUAAAACAAAGAGCACAAAUUAUCAUAAAUAUAGAUGCAGCAAUUAAGACGUUUCUUACAUUGAAUGCAUAUAUCAAGUGAUGAUGGUGACGGUAAUAAUGUAGGAGAUGGUAAUGGUGGUAAAAACGAUGAUUGUAGUUGUGGGUAUUGUUGUGGGGAUGACAAUGAUUUUAGUAAUUAUAAUGAUGACAGCAAUGAUGAUAUUGAUAGUAAUGGUGGUGAUAUUUAUGAUAUUGCUGUUGGUGAUAAUGACGAUGGUUUUGAAGACUAUGAUCGUGCUGCUGAUGAUGAUGAAAAUAUUAUUGUAAUGGUGACGAUUGUGAUUGUAAUGUUAUAAAUGGUGUUAUUGGCAGUAAUGAUGGCAAGUACCAUCAACAAUAUGCUGAAAGUCAGAAUGCUAGUGAUAUAGAUGAUGUUGGCCAUGUUGAUGGUGAUGGCGAUAAUAAGACAAUCAAUGGUGUUGAUGUAAUUGUUAUGAUAAUCAUGAUCUUUGUGACUGAGAUAACGACGGUUAUGGUUAUCAUGGCAAUUUGGGAUAUGUUGGAGGAAGGACACUGCCAAAUUUGGUGACGAACAGACACAAUUUAUGCUCCCUUAUGUGAGGCCCUGCUAUCUUGCCUUCAGAUAAGCGGUUCGACAAGAACAAUUGUUUUUGGCCAGGACAGACAAGAACAU
rnacentral:lncRNA from 1 species